GGAAUGAGCCACUUGGUCGUGGAACUGAAAUCAGAUUGCAUCUUAGAGAAGAAGCCAGGGAGUACUUGGAGGAGAGCAAAUUAAAGGUCAAAGCUAGGAUUGCGGGUUGCGGUUGCCGUUACUUUUUUUGUUGCCGCUAUAUUUUUUGUAUGCCUCAUGAAGAAGUUGCAAGAAGAUAUGAAGAAUUUUUGUUUCAUUUUGGUUAAGUAAAUAGAUAACGUGUGGAUCAUGUACUUAUUUGAAAUUUGUAUAUGGCUAAUUUUAGUAUAAAACAAA